UGUGAUUCUGUGAUUCAAAGUCAAUGAGUCACUCAGCUGUUACACUUCUUGUAUACAAAAAGCAAAACUGUGCAUUUCACUUGCAACUGCUUAAUAACAUGAUCACCUUCACACAAAGGGAAAAAAAAGCACUGUGGAAAUUAUCCUAAAAAAGCUUCAUUAAUAGAAUAGAGCAUCCUGUGAUGCCUUAAUGAAGGUAUUCUGAUGAGUUUCUGUGAUGCACACUUGCAGCGCUGCUUUUCACUUAGCCUUUUCUUGCAUGUGAUUUUCCAG
rnacentral:lncRNA from 1 species